rnacentral:rRNA from 1 species
UGCGUAGGCGGCGCGCUAAGUCAGUGGUGAACGCCUCCCGCUCAACGGGAGAAAUGCCAUUGAUACUGGCGUGCUUGAGUACGGACGAGGUAGGCGGAAUUUAUGGUGUAGCGGUGAAAUGCAUAGAUACCAUAAAGAACACCGAUAGCGUAGGCAGCUUACUAGACCGUAACUGACGCUGAGGCACGAAAGCGUGGGGAGCGAACAGGAUUAGAUACCCUGGUAGUCC